CACACCCAAGCCAGCAGGCAACCUGCUUGGGUCCCCUUCCACGUUGUGGAAGCUGUGUUCUUUUGCUCUUCACAGUAAAUCUUGCUGCUGCUCACUCUUUGGGUCCUCACUACCUUUAUGAGCUGUAACACCAUGAGGGUCUGCAGCUUCACUCCUGAAGUCAGCGAGACCACGAACCCCCCAGGUGGAACGAACAACUCCAGACGCGCCACCUUUAAGAGCUGUAACACUCACUGUGAAGGCCUACGGUUUCACUCCUGAAGUCAGUGAGACCACGAACCCAGACCAACUCCGGACACAUCUGAACAUCUGAAGUUCCCUGGUAUGACUUAGCUGAUAGCUCAUCCUUCACAAGAAUGCUUACAUGAAUGGC
rnacentral:lncRNA from 1 species